rnacentral:piRNA from 1 species
CGAUAUGAAUUGCAAAAACCAGCAGGCCU